UACGGAGGGGGCUAGCGUUGUUCGGAAUUACUGGGCGUAAAGCGCACGUAGGCGGCUUUGUAAGUUAGAGGUGAAAGCCCAGGGCUCAACCCUGGAAUUGCCUUUAAGACUGCAUCGCUUGAACAUCGGAGAGGUAAGUGGAACUCCGAGUGUAGAGGUGAAAUUCGUAGAUAUUCGGAAGAACACCAGUGGCGAAGGCGACUUACUGGACGAUUGUUGACGCUGAGGUGCGAAAGCGUGUGGAGCAAACAGG
rnacentral:rRNA from 1 species